AUAUUAACCCCCUAGGUAGUUCAUAAACCACUAUAUACUGGCGGUCUAUACAAAUUAGAGAAACUCGCUUUAUAAUCGUAAAUACCCGAUAAAUUUAACCUAAAUCGUCUAACGCUUAUAUACCGCCGUGUGGAACUUAAUUAAUAGCUAAAGUUCAUUACUCUCUUUCUAUAUUUAAAAUCAGGUCAAGGUGUAGCUAAUAUUUAGGGCAAAGUAAGUUACACUAAAAACAAUUUAAGGACAAAAUUCUCAAGCUAAUUAGAAAAAGAAUUUAAACGUAAAUAUAAAUUAAAAUUUUAUAUAGAAUUAUAAAGUAAAGAUGC
rnacentral:rRNA from 1 species